rnacentral:rRNA from 1 species
UACGUAGGGUGCAAGCGUUAAUCGGAAUUACUGGGCGUAAAGCGUGCGCAGGCGGCUUUGCAAGACAGAUGUGAAAUUCCCGGGCUUAACCUGGGAACUGCAUUUGUGACUGCAUGGCUGGAGUGCGGCAGAGGGGGAUGGAAUUCCGCGUGUAGCAGUGAAAUGCGUAGAUAUGCGGAGGAACACCGAUGGCGAAGGCAAUCCCCUGGGCCUGCACUGACGCUGAGACGCGAAAGCGUGGGGAGCGAACAGG